rnacentral:rRNA from 1 species
CACGAAUUCGUAUGAGCUAACUUAUUUAUGAAGUAUGUAGCAUAAUACCUGUUGAAAUUAAGUUAGGAGUGAAAGGCCUCUCAAAAACGACGAUAUCUUGAAGUAAAUAAAAAAAAUUUAGUUUCAAGGUGGUUACAAAGUGAUAAGAUUUUGUAAUAGAUUUAAUAUUUAUUAUUUUAUAAUGUUGACGUAAAAAUCCACAUAAUUAUAAUUACUUAAUAUAAAGUUAAUAAACUUAUUAAAUUAAUUUACGGUAAUAUAACUUUUACAUGAUCAUUAUGUUAAUAUAAGUAUCUAUAAAAUAUUAAUAGUGAACUCGGCAAUAAAGCUUUCAACUGUUUAUCAAAAACAUAGCCACAUGAUUUUUUACAUGUGGUGUGUUCUGCUCAAUGAUAUUUAAAUAGCCGCAGUACUCUGACUGUGCAAAGGUAGCGUAAUCAUUUGUCUUUUAAUUGGAGUCGUGUAUGAAUGAAUGCAUGGGGGCUUACUUUACCAUUAGUAUAACUUGAAAUUACUUAAAAGGUGAAAAAACUUUUGUAUAAAAAAUAGACGAGAAGACCCUUGAAAUUUAUAAAAAAGUUUUGUUGGGGCAACAUAGUAGAUAAACCUACUAAAUGAACAUGCAGUUUAUUUGUUUGAAUAAAUUACUCUAGGGAUAACAGCAUAAUUCUUAAUGAGUUUGUGACCUCGAUGUUGGAUUAGGGAACUAUAACUUAAAA